rnacentral:rRNA from 1 species
UACGUAGGUGGCAAGCGUUGUCCGGAUUUACUGGGCGUAAAGGGAGCGUAGGCGGAUACUUAAGUGGGAUGUGAAAUACCUGGGCUUAGCUUGGGUGCUGCAUUCCAAACUGGGUGUCUAGAGUGUUGGAGAGGAAAGUGGAAUUCCUAGUGUAGCGGUGAAAUGCGUAGAGAUUAGGAAGAACACCAGUGGCGAAGGCGACUUUCUGGACAAUGACUGACGCUGAGGCUCGAAAGCGUGGGGAGCAAACAGGAUUAGAUACCCUGGUAGUCCACGCCGUAAACGAGGGGUACUAGGUGUAGGAGGUAUCGACUCCUCCUGUGCCGCCGUUAACACAAUAAGUACCCCGCCUGGGGAGUACGGUCGCAAGAUUAAA